rnacentral:rRNA from 1 species
CAGCCGCCACGGUAAUACAGAGGAUGCAAGCGUUAUCCGGAAUUACUGGGUGUAAAGGGAGCGUAGACGGUUAAACAAGUCUGAAGUGAAAUGCCGGGGCUCAACCCCGGAGCUGCUUUGGGAACUGUAGAACUGGAGUGUCGGAGGGGUAAGUGGAAUUCCCAGUGUAGCGGUGAAAUGCGUAGAUAUUGGGAGGAACACCGGCGGCGAAGGCGGCUUACUGGACGACAACUGACGUUGAGGCUCGAAGGCGUGGGUAGCAGACAGGAUUAGAUACCCGAGUAGUCCCUGUCUCUUAUAC